rnacentral:rRNA from 1 species
GGCUUAACACAUGCAAGUCGAGGGGUAACAGAGAAAGCUUGCUUUCUGCUGACGACCGGCGCACGGGUGCGUAACGCGUAUGCAACCUACCUUAUACUGGGGAAUAGCCCGAAGAAAUUCGGAUUAAUGCCCCAUAGUAUUGUCGAUUCGCAUGUUUUGACAAUUAAAGAUUACGGUAUAAGAUGGGCAUGCGUCCCAUUAGCUAGAUGGUAAGGUAACGGCUUACCAUGGCAACGAUGGGUAGGGGGCCUGAGAGGGUGAUCCCCCACACUGGUACUGAGACACGGACCAGACUCCUACGGGAGGCAGCAGUGAGGAAUAUUGGUCAAUGGAGGCAACUCUGAACCAGCCAUGCCGCGUGCAGGAUGACUGCCCUAUGGGUUGUAAACUGCUUUUAUACGGGAAUAAACCUCCGAACGUGUUCGGAGCUGAAGGUACCGUAAGAAUAAGGAUCGGCUAACUCCGUGCCAGCAGCCGCGGUAAUACGGAGGAUCCAAGCGUUAUCCGGAAUCAUUGGGUUUAAAGGGUCCGCAGGCGGAUUUAUAAGUCAGUGGUGAAAGCCUACAGCUUAACUGUAGAACUGCCAUUGAUACUGUAAGUCUUGAAUUCGGUCGAAGUGGGCGGAAUAUGUCAUGUAGCGGUGAAAUGCUUAGAUAUGACAUAGAACACCGAUAGCGAAGGCAGCUCACUAGGCCUGGAUUGACGCUCAGGGACGAAAGCGUGGGGAGCGAACAGGAUUAGAUACCCUGGUAGUCCACGCCGUAAACUAUCAAUACUCGUUUUCGGCGAUAUACAGUCGGAGACUAAGCGAAAGUGAUAAGUAUUGCACCUGGGGAGUACGAUCGCAAGGUUGAAACUCAAAGGAAUUGACGGGGGCCCGCACAAGCGG